rnacentral:tRNA from 1 species
GGAGAGGUUCCCAAAGUGGCCUAAUGGGGCUCGGCGCAAGCCGGGAAGGUGUCGCCCAGGCACCUGCGCAGGUUCGAAUCCUGCCCUCUCCG